GCAGGCCUGAAUAUUCCUAUAUUAAAAAAAAUAUUAUUUUAUUUAUUAGUAUAUUAGAAACUCAUUAUAUUUACUAAUGAAGAAAGGUUAUGCUAUGCCGAACUACAAACUAUCAGAGGCCCAGGAGUUCGAUUAUUUGUCCAACACAUUUCAUUUAGGUUGGAAUGAAACUAGACAAGUUUUUUUGUUUCGUAUUAAAAGUGCCGCUAGGUGCGCCAAAGUGCCUGUUCGAACGAUUUAGUGGAAAUGGUCGACAUGUUCGAGGAUUUUAAAGCUGGUCCAAUGACAUAUCUAGCUCAUAUUUUGGUGGAGGAAAUGGUCCACUUAGAGGGGAAUAUCAAACAUUUAGUAGAGCAAUCGUUUUUGCAUGACGAAAUUUGAUGAGUUUAUGAAUAAAAUAUCGGUUUGGAGGAGGAGGAAUUUUCACGAGGAUUCACUACUGCUAUGGGCCUUACUUAUUUAAGAACUAAAUAUUUCUGAGAAUAAUAUUUAUUAAACCAA